CAUGUUGACCAAGCAGACCUCAAAUUCACAGAAAUUCAACUGCCUCUGCCUCCUGAGUGAUGGGAUUAAAUGUGUGUGCCAGUAAGCCCAACCUCACUUUCUCCUUUUCAUACAGCCUAGGGGAUAGUGCUAUCUGUAAUGGAACACUUGAGUCUUCCAAACUCAACUGACCUAAUCAAGACAAUCUCCUACGGCACCCCUGGAGGUUGUUCUAGGUAACUCUAGUUUUCAUCCAGUUGACAAUGACGAUCAAUCCUCACAAUUGUAAGGGUGGAGGGAGAUCACCUAUAUUGAGAACACAUGAUAAAGUGUUCAAUAAACUAAUGUCAUCUUUUACUGUCAUGAGGACAUGCUGCUAAAGUCGCGACCUCAAGAGCUCCCUGAUGCUGUUAGUCAGGUGUCCUUUGUGCCUGUCUGUUGCUAGCUACGACUUCUCAGGUUUAAUAAAAUGCAGAUUUCCCAGGUUUCACAGCUAAAAUGAGUUUGUUGAAGCAUGAGCAAUUCCCAGUGGACACAGGAAGCAAGCAAUUUUGUACAAAUGUUGGAGGUAGUAGAGAUAGUAGCCUACCCCUCCAACCAUGAGGAGAAUUCUGGCUGUGACAUGGACAAGGACUGGCCGGAGAAACCAAGAAAGCAUCAAAGAUUGGCCCUCAGCUGGUUGGUGGUCCCAGGUGGCACCAUUCCAGGACUUCUUCCUGAGCGUGUAUACAAUGUGACCAGCCGCCUCCAGCUCCUGCCAGGAUGUCUUCUUCCUGAAUUUGUACGCAGUGUGAUCAGCCACCUCAAGCUCCUGCCAGUGGCCUUCCCUGUCAUGAUGAGUUGUACCCUAGAAUACUGUGUCAAAUAUGCCUGCCUCUUGUAAGUUGUUUCUUGUCAAGUAUUUGAUGAGCAAUGAAAACCAUAAUCUCUACAGACA